rnacentral:rRNA from 1 species
GAUGAACGCUGGCGGCGUGCUUAACACAUGCAAGUCGAACGAAACACCUUAUUUGAUUUUCUUCGGAACUGAAGAUUUGGUGAUUGAGUGGCGGACGGGUGAGUAACGCGUGGGUAACCUGCCCUGUACAGGGGGAUAACAGUCAGAAAUGACUGCUAAUACCGCAUAAGACCACAGCACCGCAUGGUGCAGGGGUAAAAACUCCGGUGGUACAGGAUGGACCCGCGUCUGAUUAGCUGGUUGGUGAGGUAACGGCUCACCAAGGCGACGAUCAGUAGCCGGCUUGAGAGAGGGAACGGCCACAUGGGGACGGAGACACGGCCCAAACUCCUACGGGGGGAAGCGGGGGGGAAUUUUGCAAAAUGGGGGAAACCCUGAUGCAGCGCAGCCGGGUGAGGAAAGAAGUUUUUGGGUAUGAAAAGCUCUAACAGAGGGGAAAAAAAGGACGGUACCUGCCUAAGAAGCCCCGGCUAACUGCGU